ensembl:lncRNA
AAAAAGUAAAAAUCUCUUAAAUAAGACUCAGAAAUUUUCUGCCAGAACAAUUGUUGAAAGAUUCACUCUGUCUACUCAUUUUGCCAAGCUGUUGGAAUAUGAGAUGGAGUUGCCAACAACCAUCUUGCUGCCACCUGGAGAAAGUCUGAGAGGGAAGCAGAGCAGAGGCAAGAGAGCUAAAGACAUAAAGAGAGAUGGAGAACACUGACAACAUUGAAAUUCUAGGCUUGGCUGGGCUGGGCCCACUACUUGGCCUUCCCAAUUAAGGAGCAAAUACACACUCUCUUUGUUUAAAACCAGCUUGGAUAAGAAUGCUGUUUGCUUACAUAUAAGACUGAGAGUAUAUGUUACUAUUAAUAUUCACAGGAUUUUUUUUUGUAAGUAAAUCUUUCUAAAACAUAGUCUCUGAAUAGAUUUCCCACCAUGAUCCUCAACAUUCUCAUUCUCAUUAGAGCUUUAGAGUGUACAAAGAAUUUCUUAUAUCACAUUGGAUCCUAAUUACAAUCCAAUUAUCAAGUAGGGAAACAUUAAUACUUUAUGUGCAAGAACAUUAAGGCUUUGAUCAAUUAAGUUGCCUAGGUUAAUUCAUUUAGUAGAUGAAAACCUUUUCAAAAUCUUAGUUUUCCAUAAUAAAAGUAAAUAUAUAUUGACUUACUCUAGUGCGCAAGAUGAAGUAAAAGACCAAGAUUUACCUUCUCAUGUUAAAUAACUGGAAAACUGGGAUGUGGUGGGGAAGAUACAUAGUUGACCCUGAACAACCUGGGGAUUAGUGGUUUCAACUCCCUACCCAUUCAAAAAUUCAUGUAUAACUUUACAAUAAGCCCUCCAAAUCUAUGGUUCAGUAUGCAUCUGCAUAUUUAAUCAUCCAUGGAUUGUGAACUAAUACUAUACUAUUGAUUGAAAAAAAUAUCCAUGUAUAAUGGGACCCCCACAAUUCAAACACAAGUUCAAAGGUCAACUGUGUAUGUGAAUAUGGACACACACACACACACACACACACACACACACACGCACACACGCACAUAUAUACACAUAACCACAGGACUGUAAUUUCAGAGAGAAAGGAAACAAACCAGGGGAACCAUACAGUCUUACCAGCCUAAUGCCUGGAGGCAGUUUCCAGGCUGUGACUCAGGAAGAAAAAUCUAAAAGUGCCUUACAGUCUUUUUAAGUUGAGAAAACAGAGAAAAAAGUUUAGGGAGGCCAAGGCAACUGCAAUUUAGAAAUGGACUACCAGAGAGCAGAGAGUCUCAAGGAAAAACUGAUCAAUUCAUCAAAAGGACAAAAAAAAUUCUAAAUGUGAAUGAAUCUAAUAGUAAAGCUUCAACAUACAUGAAGCAAUAACUAAAAACAAAACAAAAAAAUCUUGACAGGAUAAGUAGUAAAUUUAUUGUUAUGGUUGAGAAUUUUACCACUCUUUUCUAAAUAAUUCAUAGAAGUGAACAAAAAUAUAGUAGCGUUAAAGACUUGAAUACCACUAUCAACAUAUGGCUCAUUUAAUACUUAUAGGACACACGUAUAAAACAGGAGAAUACAAAUAUCCUGAGCCACAGAACAAGUUUCAAUAAACUUAAGGGUUCCAAAUAAUACAAAGCAUGUUUUCUGACUAUAAAAAUAAGAGAAAUCAAAACCAAAAAGAUAAUAAGAAAAAUCUCAAAAUAAUAGGAAGUUAAACAAUACACAUGGAUCUAUGAAAAAUCACAAGGAAAAUUAGAAAAUAUUUUGAUUAGAUGAAAAUUAAAAUACAACAUAAAAAAAUUUGUGGGAUGUAGCUAAAGCAGCGCUUAGAGGAAAAUUUACAAUUUUAAAUGUUUAUAGAAAUAAAGAUCUAUAAAAAAUGAUUUGAGCUUGUACCUUAAGAACUAAAUAUGGAAAAGGAAAUUAAGCACUAAAUAACCAGAAGAGAGGGAUGAUAAAGAUAAGCGCAGAAAUCACCGAGAGAACAGAAAAAAAAAGUCAAUAAAGCUAAAAUUUAUGUCCUUGAAGAGAAUAAUAAAAUUGGAAAAGCUCUGGCCAUACUGAUGAGAAGAACAGACAAAAAACACAAAUUACCAAUAUCAGAAAUGAAAGGGAGGACAACAUGACAAAUUCUACUGAUACUUUAAAAGUAAUGAAAAAAUACGAAAAACUUUACACCAAUAAAUUUGAGAACUUUGAUGUAGUGAACAAAUUCCUUUAAACUACAAAUUUCAAAAACUCAUUCAAGAAGAAACAGAUAAUCUGAAUAGCCUGACAUUUGUUAAAGAGGUUGAAUGGAUAGUUUAAAACCUUCUUUCAGGAGUUCCCGUCAUGGCUCAGUGGUUAACAAAUUUGACUAGGAACCAUAAGGUUGCAGGUUCGAUCUCUGGCCUCACUCAAUGGGUUAAGGAUCCGGCAUUGCCUGUUGCCAUAAGCUGUGGUGUAGGUCAAAGAUGCGGCUCAGACCCUGCGUUACUUUGGUGUAGGCCGGUGGCUACAGCUCCGAUUAGACCGCUAGCCUGGGAACCUCCAUAUGCCGUGCAUGCAGCCCUAAAAAGAUAAAAGUGGGUCAAGGAUCUGGCAUUGCCACAACUGUGGCUUAGAUCAUAACUGCGGCUUGGAUCUGAUCCUUUGCCUGGGAACUC